rnacentral:rRNA from 1 species
UACGGAGGGUGCAAGCGUUGUCCGGAUUUAUUGGGUUUAAAGGGUGCGUAGGCGGUUCUUUAAGUCAGUGGUGAAAUACUGCAGCUCAACUGUAGCAUUGCCAUUGAUACUGAAGAACUUGAGUACAGAUGAGGUAGGCGGAAUUUAUGGUGUAGCGGUGAAAUGCAUAGAUACCAUAAAGAACACCGAUUGCGAAGGCAGCUUACUAAGCUGUAACUGACGCUGAGGCACGAAAGCGUGGGGAGCGAACAGGAUUAGAUACCCUGGUAGUCCACGCCUUAAACGAUGAUUACUCGAUGUUAGCGAUAUACUGUUAGCGUCUUAGCGAAAGCGUUAAGUAAUCCACCUGGGGAGUACGCUCGCAAGAGUGAA